rnacentral:rRNA from 1 species
UCCCCUAGUAGUGGCGAGCGAACGGGGAACAGCCUAAACCGACAGUCUAACCACUGUCGGGGUUGCGGGGCAGGCAACAUGGCAGCAACGAAGAUAGCCGAAUGGCCUGGGGAAGGCCAGCUACAAAAGGUGACAGCCCUGUAAGCGAAAUCAUCUGUUGCGCCUAGCUUGUACCCAAGUACCACGGGACCCGGUCGAAAUACCUGUGGGAAUCAGGGAGGACCAUCUUCCAAGGCUAAAUACUAUCUGAUGACCGAUAGUGAACCAGUACCGUGAGGGAAAGGUGAAAAGAACCCCCGCCGAGGGGAGUGAAAAGAAUCUGAAACCGUGUGCCUACAAGCCGUGAAAGGACUAUGCCCGCAAGGGAAUGUCUAAUCGCGUGCCUUUUGCAUAAUGAGCCUGCGAGUUACUAUCAGCGGCAAGGUUAAGUCGACAGACGAAGCCGUAGCGAAAGCGAGUCCGAAAUGGGCGCACAGUCGCUGGGAGUAGACCCGAAACCCGGUGAUCUA